UCAGGGCUGGAAGGCCCCGCGCCGGGACGGGCAGGUGUGCGAUUUGGAACUGGAAGGAAUCGCUCUGUCCGAGUCCGGCCGGGUACCCGGAGGGGAAGGACGGACUACGGUUCCCGUCGCCCCGCGCGCCGGACGACCCCGGGCGAGUCCUUCGCGGCAGCGGCCGCUCCUUCGUGCCGGACCGUCCUCCUUCCAGGCAGCCGCCCGCGCCUGCUGCGGUCGGUCGGUCUCUCUGCCAGGCCCUCCCCGCGGCCCGCAGCCCUGGCUGGGGCGCCGCCGGUGACCCCAAUCACGGGCGGUAGCAGGCCGCUCCCAAACCCCAAGUCUUUACCUCUUGAGAGGUGGAAACAAUAAAUCUCCUCCCCCGGCCGCAAUUCCUGGGUAAAUUCGGGCCCCGAUCCUCGGCUCGGACCGAAGCUCUUCGCCUUGGCCCCCGCCGGCAGAACCCCGCUCUUAGCGAUCCCAGCUCGCUGCCCUGGCAGCCUGGCUCAGAAACGUGCCGCGGCUUCCCAGCGUCUGGUUAUAAAGCCCAAACUCUUAGCAUACGGUACAAGCACUGUAUGUGCUACCUAGACGCCCAGACUUGACCAGUUUCUUCCAAAAUGUUGAGUAUGGACACCGCACCUGGAAACAACCCUUCCCAGAGAGCGGUCUGGUUCCUCCGCAAAUACCGCACCCCUGCCCUUUCCUGCACCGUCUGUGGCUGCCGCUUGCUGUGGAGUAAGGGACCGGGGAUCCAGACCGGACAGCCAGAUUUCCUGUCGUUGACCCCUAAGGCGGCCCAGUACCCGAUGGACCCAUUUGCCCCGGAGCGGAAAACAAGACCGGGGUUUCCAGGGAAAGCAGCUUUCUCACACCAGUCGUUAAGGCAUUCAAAGGAACAGAAGUUUUGUUUGUGUAACGGAGGGUAGACAGACUCUACAAAGGGCCACAUGAUACCUGUUUUCGGCUUUUGGAGGCCACACAGCCAUACCUGUUUCAUCAUUGUCAUGGAAACAAGCAAGCAAAUGUCUACAUUGCAGGAAGUGGUGAACAGUGAAUUUGGAACCACACACCUGCCAUUAAAUUCUCGAAACACGCCAUCUCAUUGCUUCAACUUCGCGUCUACGGUCCUGCAUUUUCUGUCUCGGCCCCUGCAGCCUUCGCCGGAUCAGUGUCCACGGUUGCUGGCCAACAGCUGCGGGGGGCCGAGCGGCAUCCCUGGACUCUGCCCCCUGGCUGCCCGUAGCAGUGGUGACGAUCCACGGGGUCUGCAGACACGGCCAAUUGUCCGCCGGGGUGGAAUCACCCGAGGUUGGGAACCGUAGUCGUAAGUGGUUUUUAUCUUGCCAGUGUGUUUGCUUGCUUGUUUUGCCCAUCAUUAAACAGAGCGGCCUGAACCUCCCCGCAGCCCUUUCUGCCUCCACCCAAGGACCCCCGGAGGGCACAUUCCUAGCUGCUGAAUUGCUAUUUCAGGGAAGCAGCAUCCACUGAGAGCUCUGAUACGGUUUUUGCCAAAUUUCUCUUCUUUCUUUUUUAAUAUUUAUUUUUUUUUGAGGGACAGAGAGAGACAGCACAAGCAGGGGAGGGGCAGAGAAAGAGAGGGAGACACAGAAUCUGAAGCAGCUCCAGGCUCCGAGCUGUCAGCACAGAGCCUGACCUGGGGCUCGAACCCACGAACCGUGAGAUCACGACCUGAGCUGAAGUAGGAAGCCCGACCAACUGAGCCACCCAGGCGCCCCUGUUUUUGCCAAGUCUCUAGCCAAGUGUCAUUUUUAGAAAGUUAAAAGCACAGCUCGACACAAAUAUAUAGGUAGCCUACAUUCAAGAUUUCUUUGUCUCAUUUAGUGAGACAGCUGGCGGGCCAGAGGGCUGGCUCACGAGGAAGAGGGGACACAGUGCCCGAAAGGGAGCUCCGCAGUCACACUCCAAGCUGCGCGCGGCAUCCUUUGUGAGGCUCCACAGCAUUGAUCACUUUCACUGAGGUCAGUUCUCCGCGUGUCAACGUGGACCCGCACACGGUUGAGAAAUAACGCUUGUCAGUGGAAACUAGUAAGUCACGGGUGAGAUACAUCUUAGGUGGUCGUUGCGCUCACCCACGUGUGUCCUUGAAAAGACACAGCCACUCUCCUGCCCACUCCUGAGUUUUGAUGUUUUCUCUCUUAACAUCGUGGUCCUGACAUUGUGCACAAAGCCCUUCAGUUGCUCGGGCUCCGGGCCCCGAAACCACCGCCCACACGGGAUGAGCUUCCCUCCUCUUACCGCCCAUCGGUCCGGGAUGCGUGUCCUCACUUCCCUUCCUGUCACUGCGGGGACGGCCAGUACGGCUCCACACACGUACUGACCUUCUCGGCUCUCGCUUAUUUUGCCUUCCCAUCCUUUGCUGCUUUUCCUUUUAGAGAGUUCUGCUUUUCCUCAUUCAUUUGCCC
rnacentral:lncRNA from 1 species